rnacentral:rRNA from 1 species
AUUGAACGCUGGCGGCAGACUUAACACAUGCAAGUCGAGCGGAGAUGAGGUGCUUGCACCUUAUCUUAGCGGCGGACGGGUGAGUAAUGCUUAGGAAUCUGCCUAUUAGUGGGGGACAACAUCCCGAAAGGAAUGCUAAUACCGCAUACGUCCUACGGGAGAAAGCAGGGGAUCUUCGGACCUUGCGCUAAUAGAUGAGCCUAAGUCGGAUUAGCGAGUUGGUGGGGUAAAGGCCUACCAAGGCGACGAUCUGGAGCGGGUCUGAGAGGAUGAUCCGCCACACUGGGACUGAGACACGGCCCAGACUCCGACGGGAGGCAGCAGUGGGGAAUAUUGGACAAUGGGGGGAACCCUGAUCCAGCCAUGCCGCGUGUGUGAAGAAGGCCUUAUGGUUGUAAAGCACUUUAAGCGAGGAGGAGGCUACUGAGACUAAUACUCUUGGAUAGUGGACGUUACACGCAGAAUAAGCACCGGCUAACUCUGUGCCAGCAGCCGCCGUAAGAC